rnacentral:rRNA from 1 species
AUGGCGGACGGGUGAGUAACGCGUAAGAACUUGCCCUUUAGACUGGGAUAACAGAGGGAAACUUCUGAUAAUACUGGAUAAGUUAGUAUAUCGCAUGAUAUGCAAAUGAAAGCUACGGCACUAAAGGAGAGCUUUGCGUCCUAUUAGCUAGUUGGUAAGGUAAGAGCUUACCAAGGCGAUGAUAGGUAGCCGGCCUGAGAGGGUGGACGGCCACAAGGGGACUGAGAUACGGCCCUUACUCCUACGGGAGGCAGCAGGG